rnacentral:rRNA from 1 species
AGGCAGCAGUGGGGAAUAUUGCACAAUGGGCGCAAGCCUGAUGCAGCCAUGCCGCGUGUAUGAAGAAGGCCUUCGGGUUGUAAAGUACUUUCAGUCGUGAGGAAGGCGGCGUCGUUAAUAGCGGCGUUGUUUGACGUUAGCGACAGAAGAAGCACCGGCUAACUCCGUGCCAGCAGCCGCGGUAAUACGGAGGGUGCGAGCGUUAAUCGGAAUUACUGGGCGUAAAGCGCAUGCAGGUGGUUUGUUAAGUCAGAUGUGAAAGACCCGGGGCUCAACCUCGGAAUUGCAUUUGAAACUAGGCAGACUAGAGUACUGUAGAGGGGGGUAGGAAUUUCAGGUGUAGCGGUGAAAUGCGUAGAGAUCUGAAGGAAUACCGGUGGCGAAGGCGGCCCCCUCGGACAGAUACUGACACUCAGAUGCGAAAGCGUGGGGAGCAAACAGGAUUAGAUACCCUGGUAG